rnacentral:rRNA from 1 species
AGGUAAGCUACUAAGAGCGAAUGGUGGAUGCCUUGACUGGUAAAGGCGAUGAAGGACGUACUAGACUGCGAUAAGCUACGGGGAGCUGUCAAGAAGCUUUGAUCCGUAGAUUUCCGAAUGGGGCAACCCAAUGUAUAGAGAUAUACAUUACCUAUAUAGGAGCGAACGAGGGGAAUUGAAACAUCUUAGUACCCUCAGGAAAAGAAAUCAAUAGAGAUUGCGUCAGUAGCGGCGAGCGAAAGCGCAAGAGGGCAAACCCAGUGCUUGCACUGGGGGUUGUAGGACUGCAAUGUGCAAGAGGUGAGUUUAGCAGAACAUUCUGGAAAGUAUAACCAUAGAGGGUGAUAGUCCCGUAUGCGAAAAACAAACCUUAGCUAGCAGUAUCCUGAGUAGGGCGGGACACGAGGAAUCCUGUCUGAAUCCGGGUCGACCACGAUCCAACCCUAAAUACUAAUACCAGAUCGAUAGUGCACAAGUACCGUGAGGGAAAGGUGAAAAGAACUGAGGUGAUCAGAGUGAAAUAGAACCUGAAACCAUUUGCUUACAAUCAUUCAGAGCCUUAUGUAGCAAUACAGGGUGAUGGACUGCCUUUUGCAUAAUGAGCCUGCGAGUUGUGGUGUCUGGCAAGGUUAAGCAAACGCGAAGCCGUAGCGAAAGCGAGUCUGAAUAGGGCGCUUAGUCAGAUGCUGCAGACCCGAAACGAAGUGAUCUAUCCAUGAGCAAGUUGAAGCUAGUGUAAGAACUAGUGGAGGACUGAACCCAUAGGCGUUGAAAAGCCCCGGGAUGACUUGUGGAUAGGGGUGAAAGGCCAAUCAAACUUCGUGAUAGCUGGUUCUCUCCGAAAUAUAUUUAGGUAUAGCGUUGUGUCGUAAUAUAAGGGGGUAGAGCACUGAAUGGGCUAGGGCAUACACCAAUGUACCAAACCCUAUCAAACUCCGAAUACCUUAUAUGUAAUCACAGCAGUCAGGCGGCGAGUGAUAAAAUCCGUCGUCAAGAGGGAAACAACCCAGACUACCAGCUAAGGUCCCUAAAUCUUACUUAAGUGGAAAACGAUGUGAAGUUACUUAAACAACCAGGAGGUUGGCUUAGAAGCAGCCAUCCUUUAAAGAAAGCGUAAUAGCUCACUGGUCUAGUGAUUUUGCGCGGAAAAUAUAACGGGGCUAAAGUAAGUACCGAAGCUGUAGACUUAGUUUACUAAGUGGUAGGAGAGCGUUCUAUUUGCGUCGAAGGUAUACCGGUAAGGAGUGCUGGAGCGAAUAGAAGUGAGCAUGCAGGCAUGAGUAGCGAUAAUUAAUGUGAGAAUCAUUAACGCCGUAAACCCAAGGUUUCCUACGCGAUGCUCGUCAUCGUAGGGUUAGUCGGGUCCUAAGUCGAGUCCGAAAGGGGUAGACGAUGGCAAAUUGGUUAAUAUUCCAAUACCAACAUUAGUGUGCGAUGGAAGGACGCUUAGGGCUAAGGGGGCUAGCGGAUGGAAGUGCU